rnacentral:rRNA from 1 species
UACGGGGGGGGCAAGCGUUGUUCGGAAUUACUGGGCGUAAAGGGCUCGUAGGCGGCCAACUAAGUCGGAUGUGAAAUCCCCAGGCUUAACCUGGGAACUGCAUCCGAUACUGGAUGGCUUGAAUCCGGGAGAGGGAUGCGGAAUUCCAGGUGUAGCGGUGAAAUGCGUAGAUAUCUGGAGGAACACCUGUGGCGAAGGCGGCCAUCUGGAAGAUUACUGACGCUGAGACGCGAAAGCGUGGGGAGCAAACAGG